UAGAAUCAGCUUCUGUUGAUGAGUGAGUCUGAUCAUCAUCAAAAGUUAUUGAAGGUCCUUCUGAGAUGUCAUCUUCCUCUAAUGGUGGAGGAUCAGUAUACAAAUAUUCUUUGGUUGAUGAAGGAGCCUGAUCAUCAUCACAAGUCAUUGCAGGUUCUUCUGGGAUGUGAACUUGCUCUAAUGGUAAUGGUGGAGGGUCAGUAUACAAAUCUUCUUUGGUUGAUGAGGGAGCCUGAUCAUCAUCACAAGUCAUUGAAGGUUCUUCUGGGAUGUCAGCUUGCUCUAAUGGUGGAGGGUCAGUAUACAAAACUUCUUUGGUUGAUGAGGGAGCC
rnacentral:lncRNA from 1 species